CCUACGGGAGGCAGCAGUGAGGAAUAUUGGUCAAUGGCCGGAAGGCUGAACCAGCCAUGCCGCGUGAAGGUCAGUGCCCUAUGGGCGUUAAACUUCUUUUGUGCGGGAGCAAUAAUGGUCACGUGUGGCCAGACGAGAGUACCGUACGAAUAAGCAUCGGCUAACUCCGUGCCAGCAGCCGCGGUAAUACGGGGGAUGCAAGCGUUAUCCGGAUUUAUUGGGUUUAAAGGGUGCGUAGGCUGUGAGGUAAGUCAGCGGUGAAAUGCCCCCGCUCAACGGGUUGAAGUGCCAUUGAUACUGCCUUGCUGGAAUGCGGAUGCAGUGGGAGGAAUGUGUGGUGUAGCGGUGAAAUGCAUAGAGAUCACACAGAACACCGAUUGCGAAGGCAGCUCACGAAUCCGCGAUUGACGCUGAUGCACGAAAGCGUGGGUAUCAAACAGGAUUAGAUACCCCAGUAGUC
rnacentral:rRNA from 1 species